CCAGCGGAGCCGCCUGCCGCCCGCGGCCCCGGCAUCCUCCGGGCGGCCCUGGCUGUACAGAGCGAUACGUUCCCGGGGAAAGGCAGGACGAGCUGCAGAGGCAGGGCCCUGCGCGUAGGGAGCCCGGACGUGCGAGCCAGCCGGGGGAGCUGCCCGAGUCUCGCAGCCCGAGGGCACCAAGCAGCCACCGGGGGCAGGCAAAACACUCAGCAAGCCGUGGGUGAUCUGUGGAGGGAGAUGCUCAUCCGGACCAUCUCAUCAGUCAACUCCAGCACCAGACAAUACAGCUUUAACCUCCCUUUGUUACACAAAGGCACCCCCAGCUGACCUCACCUGAGGCCAGCCAG